GUCUACGGCCAUACCACCCUGAACGCGCCCGAUCUCGUCUGAUCUCGGAAGCUAAGCAGGGUCGGGCCUGGUUAGUACUUGGAUGGGAGAUAGAGAACUAAUGUGUCCCAUUAUCUAGGCAUCCUGUUGUUUUGACC
rnacentral:rRNA from 1 species